GACGAACGCUGGCGGCGUGCCUAAUACAUGCAAGUAGAACGCUGAAGGAGGAGCUUGCUUCUCCGGAUGAGUUGCGAACGGGUGAGUAACGCGUAGGUAACCUGCCUGGUAGCGGGGGAUAACAUUAGGAAAGGAAACUUAAUCCAGCAUAACAGAAGAUGUUCCAUGGAAUUCGCUUAAACGUUGCAAUUGCAUCACUACCAGAUGGCCCUGCGUUGUUUUAGCUAGUUGGGGAGGUAAGGGCUCCCCAAGGCGACGAUACAUAGCCGCCCUGGGAGGGUGAUCGGCCACACUGGGACUGGGACACGGCCCAGACUCCUACGGGAGGCAGCAGUAGGGAAUCUUCGGACAUGGACGGAAGUCUUACCGAGCAACGCCGGGUGAGUGAAGAAGGUUUUCGGAUCGUAAAGGUCUGUUGUAAGAGAAGAACGAGUAUGAGAGUGGAAAGUUCACACUGUGACGGUAUCUUACGAGAAAGGGACGGCUAACUACGUG
rnacentral:rRNA from 1 species